GUUUAAAUGGGUCUGAAUAUGUCACAUGUUCAGGAGUUUCGUUACAUGAUUAUGUAGUUUACACUUACAAAAAUAAAUAAAUACAUACAAACCGUAUUAAAUACAAUAUUGUACAAAUAAAAUUUUUUUUGGUUUCAUUUUUUGAUUUUAAUUUUAACUUUCUUUCCCGCCACUAAAAAUUCAAACCUCAACGGUCGCGAGGACAGUGAGGACAGCGGGUAUCACCUCAGGAUGGCGGAGAUGAUAAUUAGCGAUUAUUUCUGUAAAAAAGUUGGACAUUCUUAUUUCGAAUACACUCCUGAAUGAAAUGUUAACGUGAUUUAAGUAAUUUGGCGUCGAAAUCAGCGUUUGGGUGUAUAUGAAGGAUAUCUGAAGAUUACGAACUGCCCCAUCUUGUUGGUGAAGCGGCCCGUUGGGACAUUGAGGAAUCUGGUAAAAGUGAAGUGGCCCGCUGGGACGUUGAGGGGUCUGUUAAAAAUCCUGUGUGCAAUUGAGCGGUACAACACAAGAGAUUCAUCGGGAGACCAUGAUACAAGCCCCCGCCGCAAAACAACAUGAAGAUUAAACAACAUCAAUGAUUUUAAAAUCUCCAGCAAAACCAAAACACUUGCCCCGUGUGAGGCUCGAACUCACGACCUUCAGAUUAUGAGACUGACGCGCUGCCUACUGCGCCAACGAGGCCUGAAGAGCAAGUGUGCAAAACCUCCCCAUGUUCCUGCAGGAACGCAUCUGUGAGUCUCAGCAAACUGGUUUGCAUUUCAGGUCUGUCCUUGAUUUUGAAUAUCUGUUCUUUACUUGAUAUGUUUGGGUUAACAUCUGCUACAAUCUCAAAAGACAAGUUUGUACAAAAAUGACUGAGGAACAAUAGAGCAGUUUAAACAAUGAGAUUCAACCUCGCCCACUAGAGGGAGCCAAAGCUAACAGCCACUUUAAACACUGUAGAUUUAGGCCCAAUCCCAAUUCUAUUAUUCCCUUAUUUCACCUAUCUCUCUCUCUCGAAUUGGCAAUAUCUGAGAAAUGCGAUUGGGCCUUAAAAUGCAUAAACUACAUUUAAAACCAUACAUUUCAAAUGCAUAUAGUAAAAAAAAAAUCUUAAUUUGGACAACUUUAAAGUCGAUUUAACAUGCAUAUAAUAAAAAGAAAUUUAGAUUAAAAAUACA
ensembl:lncRNA